rnacentral:rRNA from 1 species
UCUGGUGGCUGUACCAUUCUGAGAAUACCUGAUCUUAUGGAUUUUAAGAGGCUAAGCAGGGUGUGGGCUGGUCACGUCUUGGAUUGAAGAUUGCCUGGGUAAACCAGGUGCUAGAAGAU